rnacentral:rRNA from 1 species
AAUGAACGUUGGCGGCGUGGAUUAGGCAUGCAAGUCGAGGGAGAACUCGCAAGGGGGACACCGGCGAACGGGGUAGGAUCACGUAGGUGACGUACCCUCAGGGCGAGGAUAGCCACGGGAAACUGUGGGUAAUACUCGAUAACCUUCUCGAAUGUGAUGGUUUGAGAAGCAAUGGGUGUGAUUCCACCUGAGGAGCGGCUUACGCAGUAUCAGCUAGUUGGUGAGGUAACGGCUCACCAAGGCUUUGACGCUUAGGGGGUGUGAGAGCAUGGCCCCCACCACUGGCACUGAGACACUGGCCAGACACCUACGGGUGGCUGCAGUCGAGAAUCUUCGGCAAUGGACGAAAGUCUGACCGAGCGACGCCGCGUGCGGGAUGAAGGUCUUCGGAUUGUAAACCGCUGUCAGAGGGGAUGAAGUAUACGAGAGCUAUCUCUUGUAUUUGACAGAGCCUCAGAGGAAGCACGGGCUAAGUUCGUGCCAGCAGCCGCAGUAAUAC